UACGUAGGGCGCAAGCGUUGUCCGGAAUUAUUGGGCGUAAAGAGCUCGUAGGUGGCUUGUUGCGUCUGCCGUGAAAGCCCGUGGCUUAACUACGGGUCUGCGGUGGAUACGGGCAGGCUAGAGGCUGGUAGGGGCAAGCGGAAUUCCUGGUGUAGCGGUGAAAUGCGCAGAUAUCAGGAAGAACACCAAUGGCGAAAGCAGCUUUCUGGGACGGUACUGACGCUGAGACGCGAAAGCGUGGGGAGCGAACAGG
rnacentral:rRNA from 1 species